rnacentral:lncRNA from 1 species
CAACUCCUUUUUAUAGUAAACACCCUCAAAAUACUAUUCACACUAGCAGUUUAGCAGCUCAGGAUCAGAUACUUUUCGCCGGCCCUUCUGAAUGCCCGUUUUUGCUCAAAUUUGACAGUUAGGCUCGAUUUGUGCUAAACAAACGGAAUAUAUCUUAACUUUCCAGUUUCGACCAUUUUUUGUCACCGAAAGCUCUACCGAACUGUAAUCUCUAGCAGAUAGCAGUCGGAUUUUAUUUUUCACUUUCCAGAUGUCAGAAUGACAUGAAACUUUAAAUCUAGCCUUAUAAAAAUAAUCCCGACAUAUUUUCAGAUUUUCAUAAUUUUCUGACACUGCAUUUUCUGCUAAAAAUACAAGUCCCGUUUCCCACAGAAAAUUCUAAAUCUCCUAUUUUCAUUCCGAUUUAAGCACGAGUCAUUCCAGACUUACAUUUUACUUCUUUAAGUCCAAUAAAAAUAGUAUCUUACACUAUUUUUAUUUAUACUUAAUUUUAUAUUACAAUCUGGUACAUUACACUUCCAAUCCUAUAAAGUUGCAUUUUGAAGCCUUAGCUCCAUAUAUUUUCUACAUACACAGGUUCUAUAAGAACAUAUAGAACAAUACAAACCUCAACAACCCAACAAUCUCAUACUAAGUAAUUUAGAGAUACAAGAGAUUAACUCCUGUCACAUUCAUAUCUCAUACAACUCUCAUAUCUCACCC